AAAAAAGACCCUUAAAAAAAAUUGGCCUCUGUGUUUUCACAUUGUGUGUUUAGUGUUCUGCAUAGUUGAAUUUGAAAACAAAGGUCAGAAGCAUUCUUCCUGACUAACUGUAGAAGUUUCAAAAGAACAGGCUCUGGCUAAUACUAAGAAGUUACAGAAAUAGACUGUUUGGUCACUGGCCGCUUAAAAUGGAAAAGCCAAAGUUUUUCCGAGAGGAAACAAAAGGACGUGAGGAGUCUAGACUCUGACCACUCUAACGGUGUGUGUGUGACUGAGUGGGACUGGAAGUUUUGGGGGGCUUGCUCAGCACUCUCUAAAUCCGGUAAGCAUUUGGGGGUGCCAAUGAGCAGGAUCUUUAGCUGCACAGCUGUUUUUUUCCUUUUUUUUUUUUUUUUAAAUUUUGAGAGAGAGAGAAUACGUGCAUGGGGGAGGCGCAGAGAGAGAGAGAGAGAGAGAGAGAGAGAGAAUCUGAAGCAGGCUCUGAGCUUUCAGCAAGGAGCCCAAUGCAGGGCUCAAACUCACGCUGUGAGAUCAAGACCUGAUCCAAGGUCGGGAGGUCGGUCGCUUAACCGACUGAGCCAACCAGUCACAUCUCUGAACGAAGGCAGUUCUCGGUGGCGAGAGGGUGUGCCUGGGGCAGCCAGCCGGCUCCGUGGGAUCCUGCCCCUGUGGAAACAGUAUGAGUGUGUGAUCCCAGAGAGGGUGUGUGUCCCUGGGCCUGGCAUUCUGUGUUACCAGGCAACCCAAUGUGUCUGGGUGUGUCCCCUCAGCGCUCACUCUCCUGCUAAAGUCUCCGGGCACAGCCUGCUUGGAGGGUGUCUGAGCUGUGACCAUCCCCACCUGAUCAGGUCUGUGACAGCCCCCGUGUCUAGCCUCGGUGAAUACAUGCACAAAAACACGAGGGGUGCGUGGCUCAGGUUCUCACAGACUGCUACCUCUGGAUAUUGUAGCUGAAACUAGAAGUUUCCAUUUGGCCGUGUGUAUGUGUGUGUGUGUGUGUGUGUGUGUGUGUGUGUGUGUGUAGACCCCUCUGUGUCUGAGUGUUGGACUAUGUAAGGCUCUAGAAGGACCCUGCGUGUGGCUGAGGGUUGAGAGCUCCUCCAGGAGCUGUUGUCCCUCUCUGGGGACUGGCCUUGGGCAUCAGGGGAAUUCUGCAACAGUGAUGGCACCUGACAGUCUUUUCACUGUCCUUGCAGGAAUCUUUUGAACUCAGUAUUUGGAACCAGCCCCAAGUCUCUUGGUACCGUGGGCAGCGAUCCCUCUAGGCAAAACUGAAAUGUCUGGAAAAGUAACAAGGCAGACCUAUGAGUGCCUAAAACUGGUCCUUAAAGGAAUUUUUCAGAAAGAAAAAAAAAAGGGAUUUAAAAAUAUUUUGAACAAAGAAAGAGACAUCUUUGAAAUAAUCAAAGCACUUUCUAGGUUGAUUCCUUUAGAGUUCUGUUCUAUUUUGAUUCUUAAGAGGUCUAUUUUAAUAUUAAGGAGGUAAAAAAAAAAAAAAAGAGUUCAGAACAGGAGAUGAUUUGCUCCUGCCUCACAGGGAGGUGGAGACAGUGUUGGGACAAGAACCUGAUCCUAGGGUUCACCCCCCCCCCCCCCCAGGGUUUUCCCAGCCUGUUUCUGUUUCUGUUUACUUCUGUGUGUGUCUCUGGGCGUGUCCCCCUCUGGGUUGUGCACAAGCAGGCUCUAGGUGUGUCCCAGCUCAGAGCAGCUCCGCCAGCGGGGUGUUUCUCCCCUGCAGGGAAAUUCCAGGGGGCAGUGCCGGCCUCAGCUGCGCUCAGCCUCGCCCCGCAGCCAUACAGCUGGCCAGUUUCCCCGAGCACAACUGCUCCUCCAGACAAGGUAGAGGGCGGAAUGUGUAAGCUUUUCUCCUGGAGAGGGCACCCCCCCCCCCCGCCGUGUCUUCUGGCCCUGUGGAAUUAGGAGGUACAGAGGAAUGGAAGAAACCCACCACCCUAACUCACAUUCGGAACCUGGGGCCCCCAUGUGCUCGCACUCCACUGACGCCACCCCCAGAAAGGAUCAUGGAGAGGAGGCCACGUGCUCAGCUGAGAUGGGAACCGACCUAGUCCCGGUUCACUGGCUGGUGGAAACUCAGGCAAGAGAAGGAAUGAUUAAGGGAACAUGCAGGAGGAACAGCAAUGAGACAUCAUCCUAAUUCCGGUGAGGCCACCUCAUUCUGGUUUCUGCUCAGAUGUCCCUUUCCUGACCACACCAGCCCCCACCUCUCCCUCCCUGCCUCUCACCUGCUUCCUUUUCUGCUGGUGUACCCGGCCAUCUGAUGAUGGCAUGUACACCUUUGUUUAAUGGAAGAUCCAGGAGAGCGGGGCUCGGCUUUGUUCACUGCCUGUCCCCAGCAGUGAAGUUGGCUGCAUUAACUGAACACUUGCUCUGUGCCAGGCACUGUAUCAUGUGCUUUGAAUGCGUUAAGUAAUCUUAGCCUUACUGUGGUCCUGUGAGGGUUUUUACCCAAGUAGAAAAAUGAAGCCCAGAGAAGUUAAGAAUCUUGCCCAAGGACAUAGGAUUUGACCCUGGCCCUCUGUGCUCCUACACAUGCCCUGGAUCGCCAACCAUAGUGACUUGGCCCUUUCCUCCACCCUCGCACAGCCUCUGCUGGGGGGACUACCCCGCUCCUUCUGCCCUUGCUGAAUUCCCUGUGCCAGUCUCAGGAAUGCUGAACCAAACCCCUAGACCCUGAGCACCCCCAACCAGCCUGGCCUUUGGACAAGGAGAAGAGGAGCAUUCAUACUGAAGGGAUCCAGAAUCUCUCACUUUUAAUUUGCAUGUUCCCAAGAACUGAACCUAAGAGCGUACAGAAAAAAGUCUUCCUCCCAAACAAUGCCAAGUUCAACCUGGAAGGAGAAACACCGGUGGUGCGAUUUUUUCAGAUGGAAGGGGACCCGCUGACCCUGACCAUUUGUUGGCAGUCAGGAUGGAUUUGUGCUAAUUUUUCUGCUAUCUGAUCACUGUACAUCCAAGGUCACUAUGAUCUCUGCAACUGAGUUUCUUUCACACAGAGCGAACAGACACUGGAACCUACUUCCUCAAUCUGACUAACAUGCUUCCAGUUAAAAGGCCCACCAGGAAGAGCCCCUGCCCCCAGGCAGCAGGUUCACUGGCCUAAGAGGGCAAAGUGGGCACUUACUCUGGGGGAAAUCACUGUGGUCUGCAGUGCAACCCUUAGCUCUAUGGGCCAGAGGGGAUCCCUUUGGCAAGACUGACUCACACUAAUCAAACUCACCAAGCACCGAUGUAAAAACCAGAAUGCUAUCUUCCUAUUUUGCCGAGAAGCCUGCUUGGCCCACAAGAUGCUUACGUUGGCAGGUGUGGAUGGUCUCUCUUUCCUGCUGGAUGUGGGGAGCGGCUCUGGAAGGAAGACGAAGCUGGUGAAGUUUGAGGCCAGUGGGACGGGGAGGGAGAGAAGCUUCUCACCACAUUCUCAUUGCGACUUUUAACUAGUGGCCCAUGUGCUCAAAGAACAAUUGGUUUUUAAAAAUCCUUUCGGGGGGCACCUGGGUGGCUCAGUCGGUUAAGCGUCCGAUCGGUCAGGUCAUGAUCUCACGGUCCGUGAGUUCGAGCCCCGCGUCGGGCUCUGUGCUGACAGCUCAGAGCCUGGAGCCUGCUUCGGAUUCUGUGUCUCCCUCUCUCUCUGACCCUCCCCCGUUCAUACUCUGUCUCUCUCUGUCUCAAAAAUAAAUAAACAUUAAAAAAAUAAUAAAAUAAA